rnacentral:lncRNA from 1 species
UGGACGUGGGAUUUAAUUUUUAAAUAAAUAUGAAGGAAAGUCUAGUGGGUGGAGUGUUGCCUUUGGUACUGUUCUUUGUUCUUAUUAUUUUUUUUAUUUUUUUAUUUUUUUAUUUAUUAAUAUUUGUCUUUUUUAUUAGAUUAGAGAUUAAUUUUGUGUUUGGUCCUCUUUUUUUCUUUUUACUAAUUUACACCUUCAUGCUUAUGUUUGCACCCUUCUGUUUUAUUUAUUGUUUUUUUUAAUUAAUUCUAAUUAGUAGUUUAAUUGAUUAUAAUUUUAUUUGAUUUUUGAUUAUAUUUUUAGUUGACUAAUUAUUAUAAGUUAAUUAUUGGAUUUUUUUUGUUGCGUUGCGAUUUCG